rnacentral:rRNA from 1 species
GUGGGGAAUAUUGGACAAUGGGCGCAAGCCUGAUCCAGCAAUGCCGCGUGCAGGAAGAAGGCCUUCGGGUUGUAAACUGCUUUUGUACGGAACGAAACGGUCCGGUUUAAUACCCGGGGGUCAUGACGGUACCGUAAGAAUAAGCACCGGCUAACUACGUGCCAGCAGCCGCGGUAAUACGUAGGGUGCAAGCGUUAAUCGGAAUUACUGGCCGUAAAGCGUGCGCAGGCCGUUUUGUAAGACAGUGGUGAAAUCCCCGGGCUCAACCUGGGAACUGCCAUUGUGACUGCAAGGCUAGAGUGCGGCAGAGGGGGAUGGAAUUCCGCGUGUAGCAGUGAAAUGCGUAGAUAUGCGGAGGAACACCGAUGGCGAAGGCAAUCCCCUGGGCCUGCACUGACGCUCAUGCACGAAAGCGUGGGGAGCAAACAGGAUUAGAUACCCGAGUAGUCC